GCGCCCGUAGCUCAGCUGGAUAGAGCGUCUGGCUACGAACCAGAAGGUCGGAAGUUCGAAUCUUUCCGGGCGCACCA
rnacentral:tRNA from 1 species